UACAGCUAUAUCAAGUUGUAACACCGGUUUUCGUACGAUCACCGGAGUUAAGCAACAUCGAGCCUGGUCAAUACCGAGAUAGGUGGCUUGGGAAUACCAGGUGCUAUA